rnacentral:lncRNA from 1 species
CUUUUGUCUUUUUAGGGCCAUAUCCAUGGCAUAUGGAGGUUCCCAGGCCAGGGGUCAAAUCGGAGCUGUAGCUGCUGCCCUGCACCACCACUCAUGGCAAGGCUGGAUCCCUUAACCCACUGAGCAAGGCCAGGGAUCGAACCUGCAACCUCAUGAUUCCUAGUCGGAUUCAUUAGCCACUGAACCAUGACAGGAACUCCUCAUCACACAAUUCUUUAUGACAACUUGUACUAUCCUGUUUUGCUCAAAGGUAGUAGGAUUGUAUAUAUCUUUUAUGAUGCCUAUGCCCCCAAAUUUACUUGAUAGUUUGAGUUCAUUAGGAGAGACAUGCUGAAGGCAGUUGUAUACAAAGGUGAAUGGCAGGAAAUAGAUGGCUGAAGAAAUUUUUAAAAUUCAUUGGAUUGGUUAUUUGAAUUAACCUUUAUAAAUCUCAAAGUGGAAAUAUUUUAAAAUUAUAAAGCCAAGAAAAUGGCUGUCCUCUCUUCAACAAAAUUAUAAGCAACCAAAUUUUUUUAAAGCACUGUGUUGACAAUUCAAAUACAAAACAAAACCAAAAAGGCCCCAGAAGCCAGAGCUUAUUAGAGAUGUAUCUGAAAUCUGGAAUCAGCAGUUACAAGAUGAAUACUUUCACUUCAUGGCAGCUGAUGAGCAUUUCACUGCAUUCAAGUGACACUGCUCACUUGGGGUGUGUACCUACGUACCUUUGAGACAAAGAAAAUGGAAAGUUGUCUGCUGUUUUAACUCAUAUAUACAUGUACGUGUGCAUACACACGUAUGUAUGAAUGACAGCUUAAUUUUUUUUGUCUUUUAGGGCCACACUCGCAGCAUAAGGAGGUUCCCAGGCUAGCCAUCGAACCAAAGCUGUAGAUGCAGGCCCACACUACAGCCACACCAGAUCCAAGCCUCCCCUGCGACCUACACCACAGCUCAUGGCAAUGCCAUAUUCUUAAACCACUGACCAAGGCCAGGGAUCGAACCCAUGUCCUCAUGGAUACUAGCUGGGUUUGUUACCACUGAGCCACCAAAGGAACUCCCAAAUGAAAGUUUUACUGAGAUACAAUUCACAUACCAUAAAAUUCAUCCAUUUGAAGGGUGCAAUCCAGUUUUUAGUAUAUUGUUACGCUGUUAGUACUUGUUAGGAUUUAUAAUAAAAUUGCUUUUCACGAUACCUUUACUCUUGCUUCUGUAAAGUAUCUGUAAGGUGACUGAAAACGUAAAAGGGAGGGUGACCACGGGCCCCAACAGUAAAGAGUGAUGGCUAUUUUUCCUAGUAUGCAGAGGGUAAAAGCAGUGAGCAGAAGACCAUCUCCUUCAGCGGCCCCUCCCUGAUGGAGAGCAGCCCUGCUGCAGGGCCUAUGUGCUCCCUUCCCUCCCCCUGAAAAGCAGAUUCUUAAAGGUUACUGGAGCCCUAACUUCUAUUUAGACUACUUCGGACUUAAUGAGUCCAGCUCCUCUAGCUCACCACUGAAGGACUGCUGGGUGCUGGCUCAUCAUGGGGGCAGUCAAUAGCCUGCCAGUAAGGGCAGGAUGAAUUCACCACAGCCGUCCUCACCCCUCAAAGGACAACUGUUACUAUGAUACAGGACUGAGCAGCAAAGCCAUGGCUCCAUUUGAAUUUCAGAGCAACAGGUCUCCCAUCUUUCUUGUUGUUGUAAAAAUAAGACUGACCCUUGGAGCUCCUGCUGUGGCGCAGCAGAAACAAAUCAAACUAGGAACCAUGAGGUUGCGGGUUCAAUCCCUGGCCUCGCUCAGUGAGCUAAGGAUCCAGUGUUGCCAUGAGCUGUGGUAUAGGUCGCAGAUGUGGCCUGGAUCUAGUUGUUGCUAUGGCUGUGGUACCGGCUGGCUACAAUUCAACUCCUAGCCUGGGAACUACUUAAAAACUGUAACACCACACUAUCUGGGGUUAGAUGAAUCUGCAGAUACUGAAUGAAAAGGGUAUGGACGAACCACAUAUAUGGAGAGUGGAUGCACCCCUAACACUCCUAUUGUUCAAGAGUCAGCUGUAUGUUCCAAAGCCUAAGAGAAAGCAAACAUUCCCCUAAAAUGUACUGCAAAAGUUAAUGGAGUUAGUAAUGGAAUAUGCCCUAAAGGGUUGGGAAAAUUAAAUGAGAUAUUCACAAUUAGCUCCUCACUAUGGCCAUGCUGCCUAUCAAGUUAUAAAUGCAGCUUUGUGUGUGUGUGAUUAAAGUUCCCAGG